rnacentral:rRNA from 1 species
AGCAGUAGCCGCGGUAAAACGGAGGGUGCAAGCGUUAAUCGGAAUUACUGGGCGUAAAGCGCACGCAGGCGGUCUGUUAAGUCAGAUGUGAAAUCCCCGAGCUUAACUUGGGAACUGCAUUUGAAACUGGCAAGCUAGAGCCUUGUAGGGGGGGGUAGAAUUCCAGGUGUAGCGGUGAAAUGCGUAGAGAUCUGGAGGAAUACCGGUGGCGAAGGCGGCCCCUGGACAAAGACUGACGCUCAGGUGCGAAAGCGUGGGGAGCAAACAGGAUUAGAUACCCCAGUAGUCCCUGUCUCUUAUACA